GUGCCAGCGCCGCGGUAAUACCGGCAGCCCGAGUGAUGGCCGAUCUUAUUGGGCCUAAAGCGUCCGUAGCCGGCCGCGCAAGUCCAUCGGGAAAUCCACCCGCUCAACGGGUGGCCGUCCGGUGGAAACUGCACGGCUUGGGACCGGAAGGCGCGACGGGUACGUCCGGGGUAGGAGUGAAAUCCCAUAAUCCCGCACGGACCACCGAUGGCGAAAGCACUUCGAGAAAACGGAUCCGACAGUGAGGGACGGAAGCUGGGAUCUCGAACCGGAUUAGAUACCCCUGUAGUCC
rnacentral:rRNA from 1 species